UACGGAGGGGGCUAGCGUUGCUCGGAAUUACUGGGCGUAAAGCGCGCGUAGGCGGCUGAUCAAGUUGGGCGUGAAAGGCCUGGGCUUAACCCGGGAAAUGCGCUCGAGACUGAUCGGCUAGAGUUCGGAAGAGGGUAGUGGAAUUCCCAGUGUAGAGGUGAAAUUCGUAGAUAUUGGGAAGAACACCAGUGGCGAAGGCGGCUACCUGGUCCGACACUGACGCUGAGGUGCGAAAGCGUGGGGAGCAAACAGG
rnacentral:misc_RNA from 1 species